rnacentral:tRNA from 1 species
GCCCAGCUAGCUCAGCUGGUAGAGCAUGAGACUCUUCAUCUCAGAGGUUGAGGGUUCAUGCCCUACAUUGGGUG